ACGGAGGAUGCAAGCGUUAUCCGGAUUCAUUGGGUUUAAAGGGUGCGCAGGCGGAAUGAUAAGUCAGUGGUGAAAUCUCCCGGCUCAACCGGGAAACUGCCAUUGAUACUGCCAUUCUUGAGUACAGUUGAAGUGGGCGGAAUGUGUCAUGUAGCGGUGAAAUGCUUAGAUAUGACACAGAACACCGAUAGCGAAGGCAGCUCACUAAGCUGUAACUGACGCUCAUGCACGAAAGCGUGGGGAUCAAACAGGAUUAGAUACCCUGGUAGUCCACGCUGUAAACGAUGAUCACUCGUUGUUAGCGAUAUACUGUUAGCGACUGAGGGAAACCAUUAAGUGAUCCACCUGGGGAGUACGGCGGCAACGUUG
rnacentral:rRNA from 1 species